rnacentral:lncRNA from 1 species
AUGGAAGUUGCACAGUUUUUCAAUGGGACCUAGAAGCUGCUGGAGGUCCUCCUGGCAGCAACCCGAUGCAAACCAAAAAUCUGGAAGUCUUUUCACCACUCCAAGAUCUGAGGGUGACAUAUUUUGGAAGGAUCUGCAAUUUUCCAUCAUAAGUGUGACAAAAACUGACAAUCAGGAAGCUUAUGUACUCAGUGACAGUAGCACGUUUAUCUCCAAGAGACAUUUUAUUUGGAAGACAUAUGGGACCAACUUUUGCUGAAAGCACUGGUUCCCCUGUUGAAGUUUGCUAGGGAUGACAUCGGAUUUGGCUCAAUGAAAAGCUUCUCUUAUUCGCCUGAAAUUUCAUGAAGCCUUCUCACCAAGUGUGCCCACACCAGAAUUUCUAGGAAGAAACAGUUUCUUAAUGUAAUUUUCCCAAGUGGAACGACAUAUUGUAUGGAAUGUGUGAAUUCUGACUGUUGGUACUUGUAUAUACUUUGGAUUUCCCAGAGAAUCUGGCAAGCAAACAGAUUAAACCCUGGAAAUUCUGAUAGUGAGCUUGACCAAGCAGUUAUGAGUCAGUCCUACAUGAAUGAUGGCAUCACUACAAAGGAUGUCACUCAUGAGAGUGGAAAUAGUGACCUAAUACUAGGUUCUGCCACACUGUUAAAUCCUUGUGGGUAUUUAAUCAAUGGAAUGAAAUAGGAUGGAAUUUACCAGACUAUUCACAUCACUCCAGAAACAGAAUUUUUUACGUUGGCUUCAAAACCACCUUAAGUCAGACCUUCUGUGAUGACCUGAUUGGGAAAGUUGUGGAAGUCUUUCAUGCAGGAAAAGUUUUUACCACUUUGCUUGUAAAUCAUAGUUUUAAAUGUCACUCACUACCUUCUUUGCCCCUAGAAUAUGGAAGAUUUUAAAUGUCCUGAUUGCUAGAGUACUAUGUUCAAUGAUUACAAUUUUGUUUUUACCAGUUUUGCUAAGAAGCAGCCAACAGCAGAGCUGA